UGUUAUAUAUGACCAUGAUAUGUAUUUUCUUUCUCCUAUAGAAGAAACCAUAUUAUCUUCUAAAUAUACUAGUAUGUGAUAUUUAUUUCAACAAAAUUUCAAGUUCUCGAGUCACAAAAUUUCUACUUGCAAUUGUUUAGGGUUUUCUUUUGGCCAUUGCAUCCGCUAUUUUAGGGAUUAUUUAAAUGAUUGAUUUAACCAAACCAUUUGAUAAUAUUUUGUAAUGGAUUGUGUGUCGCUGACUGCAAUCCUGUAGAAGAUAUUUGUAAAAUCCUGUUGAAGCUUAUCCAUCAUAUAUUUAUAAGGAGGCUAUUGAAGGGAGAACAUGUCAAUAGAUAUCUUCAUAUGGAUGUUAACAUACGAAGGGUGUCUUGUAACAUUUGUUUUGAGGCGUGUCUUUUCAUUAGGUUCUCUUCCCACUCUUCUCGUGAGAUUUAUUUCACUUUAUUGUCCAAUCCUCUGUAAUAUUGAAGUAGUUUCCCACUUUUAAUUAUCCACGCUGUCAGUCCAAAUUUUCUUGUUAGAAUGCAAAUUUGAAGUGCCAUUAUUCAUUCCCAUGCAAUACAUAAGUUCACUAUUUUGUAUGGCUUACGGUAUGAAAGGUUGGAUAAAUAACAUUAUCCAUACAUAAGUUCACUAUUUUGUAUGGCUUACGGUAUGAAAGGUUGGAUAAAUAACAUUAUCCUUGUGUUCGUAA